rnacentral:rRNA from 1 species
GACGAACGCUGGCGGCGUGCCUAACACAUGCAAGUCGAACGGGACUUAGUGGAAUGCGGCUUCGGCCAAAGGAAGCUAAGUUUAGUGGCGAACGGGUGAGUAACGCGUGAGGAACCUGCCUUUCAGUGGGGGACAACAGUUGGAAACGACUGCUAAUACCGCAUAAUGUGUCUUGGGGGCAUCCCUGAGAUACCAAAGCUUUAUGUGCUGAAGAUGGCCUCGCGUCUGAUUAGAUAGUUGGUGGGGUAACGGCCUACCAAGUCGACGAUCAGUAGCCGGUCUGAGAGGAUGAACGGCCACAUUGGGACUGAGAUACGGCCCAGACUCCUACGGGAGGCAGCAGUGGGGAAUAUUGGGCAAUGGGGGAAACCCUGACCCAGCAACGCCGCGUGAAGGAAGAA